rnacentral:rRNA from 1 species
UACGUAGGUGGCAAGCGUUGUCCGGAUUUACUGGGCGUAAAGAGCGUGUAGGCGGCCAAACAGGUCCGUUGUGAAAACUGGAGGCUCAACCUCCAGACGUCGACGGAAACCGUGUGGCUAGAGUCCGGAAGAGGAGAGUGGAAUUCCUGGUGUAGCGGUGAAAUGCGCAGAUAUCAGGAAGAACACCAAUGGCGAAGGCAGCUCUCUGGGACGGUACUGACGCUGAGACGCGAAAAGCGUGGGGAGCGAACAGG